rnacentral:rRNA from 1 species
UACGUAGGUGGCAAGCGUUGUCCGGAUUUACUGGGUGUAAAGGGCGUGCAACCGGAGAGACAAGUCAGAUGUGAAAUCCACGGGCUCAACCCGUGAACUGCAUUUGAAACUGUUUCCCUUGAGUGUCGGAGAGGUAAUCGGAAUUCCUUGUGUAGCGGUGAGAUGCGUAGAUAUAAGGAAGAACACCAGUGGCGAAGGCGGAUUACUGGACGAUAACUGACGGUGAGGCGCGAAAGCGUGGGGAGCAAACAGG